AACGAACGCUGGCGGCAGGCUUAACACAUGCAAGUCGAACGGGUGCAGCAGUGCAUCAGUGGCAGACGGGUGAGUAACACGUGGGAACCUUCCUAGGGGUACGGAACAACUCAGGGAAACUUGAGCUAAUACCGUAUACGUCCGUGAGGAGAAAGAUUUAUCGCCCUUAGACGGGCCCGCGUCGGAUUAGCUAGUUGGUGGGGUAACGGCCUACCAAGGCGACGAUCCGUAGCUGAUCUUAGAGGAUGAUCAGCCACACUGGGACUGAGACACGGCCCAGACUCCUACGGGAGGCAGCAGUGGGGAAUCUUGGACAAUGGGCGCAAGCCUGAUCCGGCCAUGCCGCGUGAGUGAAGAAGGUCUUCGGAUUGUAAAGCUCUUUUGCCAGGGACGAUAAUGACGGUACCUGGAGAAUAAGCCCCGGCAAACUUCGUGCCAGCAGCCGCCGUAA
rnacentral:rRNA from 1 species